GACGAAACGCUGGCGGCGUGGAUUAGGCAUGCAAGUCGAACGGUAUCAUCCUUUCGGGGGUGAGAGAGUGGCGAACUGGUGAGUAACACGUAGGUUAUCUACCCUCAAGACGGGGGACAACCCAGGGAAACUUGGGCUAAUACCGGAUGUGAGCAACUUUUAGUUGUUUGAAAGGUGGCGUAAGCUGUCGCUUGGGGAUGAGCCUGCGUCCUAUUAGUUAGUUGGUGAGGUAACGGCUCACCUAGGCAAUGAUAGGUAGGCGGCCUUAACGGGUGGUCGCCCACACUGGGAUUGAGAUACGGCCCAGACUCCUACGGGAGGCAGCAGUCGAGAAUAGUCUACAAUGGUCGGAAGACUGAUAGUGCGACGCCGCGUGAACGAUGAAUCCCUUCGGGGUGUAAAGUUCUUUUAUAUGUGAGCAGUGCUUCUUAUAUUAACAGUAUGGGGAGAGAGAUAUUAGCAUAUGAAUAAGCAACGGCUAACUCCGUGCCCAGCAGCCCGCGGUAAAACGU
rnacentral:rRNA from 1 species